AAUGAAUAAACUGUUGGACAUGUAAGCAAUGGAAUACUACUCAAAUGUUUAAAAAGAAAUACAGAUAUAUAUACAAAAAUAUAUAUACUAGAAAAUGAAAUGAAAAACUAUAAACCUGUUUUCUCACAUAAAAGAGGUACUGAUGGAGACUAUACCAAUAACAAACAAGACUCCUUCUCUUCUCUUUGACCCCAGUUAGCAGGUAGCUUUUCUUUUCAUGGUUGCAGUAAAUGUGCUUCAGGUUCCAAUUCUACAUUUCAAGUUUGACAAAACAACAUGUUUAGGAAGUCUUAUCUUUGUGUUUCUCAGAUAUUUUUUGAAGUAUAUUUACACACCAUAAAACUAACCCACUGUAAUUAUACAAUUAAAUAUUCCUGAUCAAUUUUCCAGAAAUACCACUCAAUGGUGACCACAAUCAUUUUAAAAAUUUUACUUCAUCCAGAAAUAUCCCUCAUGCUUUUUCAAACAAUCUUCAUUAUCACUCCAAGUAACUACUAAUCUGAUAUUUUCUAUAUCUAUAUAUUUGCCUUUUCUGGACAUUUAGACACAUGAUAUUAUACAAUACAGUACCUAUUAUUAUGUUUGUCAUCAUUCACUGAAUAUAAUGUUUUGACCCAUGCUAUAACAUGGUUAUCAGAAAAACUUAGCCAAGACUGAGGCCCAUUUUGAGGUGAGAAAAAACCUGGGGAGCAGAAUAAGACAACAAAAGGAUGAAGUUAACAACAAAUGAAAUUGGGGCAUUGGGCAGAAUAUAGGGAUGAAAGAGCCACACAAUUGAAGGCAAAUUUAAUGAAUUCUGAGAUCUCCUGGAGCUUAUCUAUUAUACAGAACAAAUACAUCCUCUUGUGACAAGGAUACCUACAUAAAACAGCUCACCAUGUCAUAUGGAAAUUCUGAGCCUUCCUGUGAUGACUGAAUGAGUACGGAGUGGGUUUAUUCACAAACAAACAAAAUGAGGCAAAAACUUAGAGUCUCCCAGUUUAUUCCAUUUGAUGGUUUAAAACAACUAAGUAAUGAAAAACCUCCCAAGACAUGUAAGUGUCCAGAAAUGACAGCAAAAAUAUAGCAAAACUUUCAUUAACAUACAUUGUGAAGCACACUGAAAAAAUUCCCAGGUGUCAAAAAUUAAAGGAAACCAAAAACCUAAACUGAUGAAAGACUGAAUAUUUGUAGUGAAGUGAUGCAAUUCUUGAAAUGGAUAGAUAAAAUCAAUGAAAUGUAAAUGCACUGUAGUAUUUUCUUAUGGAAUUAUCUGUACUUAAAAAUUAAUCUUAAAAAACAACUAGAAAAAAUAAACAUUAUUUGGGGUUGGAAUGGAAAUGCCUAUAAAAUUGGGUUGUGGUGAUCAUUGUACAACUAUAAAUGUAAUAAAAUUCAUUGAGUAAUUAAAAAAAGAAGGAAAAAAACCUUAUAUACCUAGGAAAAUCAAAAAAAUAAGUUUGAGCUUUAUAACAACAGUGGAUACCAUUUACAUUCAAAACAUGAGAACUAAAAGAUAAAGUCCAAUCAAUAAAAUUCAAAAAAAUAAAAUUAAAACAAAACAUAUCUAGUGAAAACUUUAUAACCUGAAAGUUAGAAAAGAAGAGAGACAAAUAAUCAUGGGAGAAAAAAUCCAAAAUAAACUGGUAGAAAUAAAAUAACAAAUAGUAAGUACAAUAAAUAUAAAUGUGCUAAAUGAGCUAGUUAAAAAUGCUUGACUCUUAAUCUGAAAUAAAACAGAAAUAAAAUUCAACUACAGACUACAAGAAAUACAGAAAAAACUAUAUAUAAUGAUUGAAAAUUAAGGAAUAAAAACAUAUAUACUAGGCAAAUAAUAACCAAAAUGGUUGAAAAGAAAGAAAGUAAGAGAUGUGGAAUAAGCAGAAAACCAAACACUUUAGGAAUAAAAGGGAUACCAAGUAAGCUAUUCAUUUUUUUUAACUCAAAUUCCAAAAUGUUCAUUUUGGCAUCAAAUCUUUUCAAAGAAUUUUUUUUUAUUCUUUUCAUACAAUCAUAUACUUAUGACAUUCUUAACAUAGGAAUCCUUAUGCACACUUACAGAAUAAAUUUCUCUCUGAAGAUUUACAAAAUACCUUUUGCUUUUCAUAAUUUUCAUCAUAAUUUUUGCAUAUUUGUUGCUCUCAAAAUUAUAGUUUUCAGACAUGUUUUUCAGAGAUUUGAAUAUGUAAACUAAUUUUUUACACAUGAAUGAGCUACAUAUUGCUAAUACUUUGAUACUUCCACAGAGAGAUUUAGUUAAGACACAAAUUGACAGAUUUUUAGUAUAUAGAAAUAAAUUUUUCACUUCAGUUUAUAAACAAAAGAGCUGCUGUAAAUAAGUAAUGUCAGAGACUGUUAAAUUUUGAGGACUUAUUUGCUCUUAUGCUGUUUUUAUUCAAGAUUUCUAUGAUUCCAAAAUGACGUGAGGUAGUUUGCUAAAUUAAAGAUAAGUCUUCAAAUAAAAUCAGAGCAGAUAUAUACUAUAUUUAUAGCUUUCAUGUAGUACAUUUGGUCCUGUCCAAAAUAUCCAUUAGACAGUUGGUCUACACCAAAAUAUUUUUUCUUGAUAUUUGGUCCUGUCCAAAACCAUUUGGCAUGGACCAAAUAUGCUCUUGGACAUUUUGGAUUGGAACAAAUUUCAAGGACCUUUUGGAGUGUACUAAAUAUCUUACGGACAUUCUGGGCAGCACCAAUGAUCUGGAAACCAUUCAGAAAUAUCAUAAUAUUUAUUGAUCUAAUCAUAGGAAGAAUAUUAUCAUUAAUCAAAAUAUAAUAUAAAUAACUUCAAUAACAAUAUAUUUUUUAUUUUAUUAUAUUAUAUUAUUUGGCAGUGGUGUGCAGCAGCUUGAUAUGGAAUCUCAAUUCCCAGAACAAGGAUUGAACCUGGGCCACAGUAGUGAAAGCACCAUAUUAUAACCACUAGACUACCAGGGAAUGCUUUCAAAUUUUAUUUUUUUUUUAAAUAGCAAUAAAUAAUCAUUAGAGUCAUUAAGAAAAUAAUUCACACUUCUUUUGCCAAGGACAAAUUAACCACUAAUAAAUAUUUAUUUCUAUGAUAUAAGUAUCUUUCCUUCUUUUUUUCUCAAAUUAUAAGAUUACAUCAUUUUAUUUUUUUAGCCCGCUGAUGUAGUGGAUUUCACUGAGAGAUUUUUGAAAUAGCCUAUCAUAGCUAGAAUAAAUCUCAUUUGGUUAUGGUGCACUUUUCCUUUUACACAUUGUUAGAUUUUUUGCUUGUGUUUUGUUAAGAAUUUUAUAUCUAUAUCGAUUAGUGAUAUCAAUCUAGAGAGUUCAUUUUCUGUAAUCUCUUAAUCUGAUUUUAGUAUUAAAAAAAUACUGAUCUUGCUACAACCACUAUGGAAAACAGUAUGGAAAUAACUUAGAAAACUAUACAUAGAAGUACCAUAUGACCCAGGAAUCCCACUCUUGGGCAUAUAUCUGGACAAAAAACUUUCAUUGAAAAAGACACAUGCACCCGCAUGUCAUUGCAGCACUAUUCACAAUAUCCAAGACAUGGAAACAACCUAAAUGUCCAUUGACAGAUGAAUGGAUUAAAUAGUUGUGGUUUGGGAGGUGGAGCAAGAUGGCAGAGGAGUAAGAGGUCAGGCUCACCUUCUCCCACAAACUCAUCAAAAAAACACAUCUACAUGUAAAGCUACUUGCACAGAACAUCAACAGAAUACCGGCAGAAGAACUUAGACCUUCAAAAAGGGCAAGAAACUCUUGAUAUAAAUGGGUAGAAUAAAAGAAAAAAAAAAGAGAGAAAGAAAAGGAAUCAGGAUGGGACUAGCAUUCCCAAGAGGAAGCUGUGAAAGAGAAAAGGAACCCACCUCCUGGGAAGCCACCUAACUGACAGAAAGAUCAGCUGAGUUGGCGGAACCACAAAGUCACUGAGAAAAGUGCACCAGCUGGACUGAGAACAGCAAAGCAGAGUAAGAGCUGCACAGAUCAUCUGAACCACUGGCCUGGACACCAUAGCCUGAGAUGCUCAGGUAGGGUCUGGGUGCUGAGACUCAGGCUACAGAGGUCAAUCCUGGGGAGAGGACUGCGGCUGCCUCUGUGGGAACAGUAUGAGGGACUAAGGAGCAUGUGCCAUGGGCAGGGGAGUGGUACACUGCUGAGGAGGGUAAUGCUGAGGAGGGUAAUGCCAUGGCAGAGGGAACCCAGGCAAAGGUCCGGACCUGCAGGAGAGGCAAGGAGCCAGUGUUGGGGAGGGAAGAGGAGGGGUGGACCGCCAUAGGAAACUUCCUGCACCAGAGCUUGUGCAUGUCUUCAGGCUCUCAGGGGGCAAGGCAGCUCCAGUGCAGGCUAUAUGCUGCGAGAAGCCUCUUGCUCAUUUAGAGGAGACUGGGCACUUCUUGUGCGGGCUAAUGGUGGCCAGACACCUCUUGUGUGGGCUAAGGGCAUCAGGGGGCUAAAUGUGAUGUGGAGCCUCUUACGCAAGCUACAGGUGGCAGGGACAGACUGUGUCAGUCGUCUCAGAGGCCAGAGCGAGGCCUGUGAGUGGGCUCCAUCUGCGACCCCAAUCACCUCAGGGUUGGUAAAAAAGAAUAAAGAGGGCAUUGAAACCAAGCACAAAAUGCUGUUGUUCUCACUCCUGUAGGGAACACACCUGCCCUGCAGCUUCCACUGCCAAAUGCUCUGGGUGGCACCCAGACACUUGGUCACUGUCCCUUCCCAAGACCUACAACUCAGAGCAGCAGGUGCAGCACCUCCUGCAUGGACUAAGUGGGACAGGGUGCCUGUUGGGUGGUCUGCAUGCAGUGGGGGAAAACCGCCACAGUUACCCCUGAUUCCAGAGGUGGGCAUGGCCCACUGCCAUUGGAGAUAUCUGAACAAAAAUCACCUGCAGCCCCAUUCACCUCAAGGGCACCACAGAGGAUGGCAUUCUGACCAAACGCCACCUGUUGGUGCUCUUGCACCCCUGGGAAAACACCCACUCAAACAUCCAGGGGAGCACCCACAUGCCUGAUCUCUGUCACUUCUCAGGAUCCUGCAACUAUGAGCACCCUGUACAGCACCUCCUUUAGGAGGGCUAAGUGAGA
rnacentral:lncRNA from 1 species